GACGAACGCUGGCGGCGUGCUUAACACAUGCAAGUCGAACGGAAAGGCCCUGCUUUUGUGGGGUGCUCGAGUGGCGAACGGGUGAGUAACACGUGAGUAACCUGCCCUUGACUUUGGGAUAACUUCAGGAAACUGGGGCUACUACCGGAUAGGAGCUCCUGCUGCAUGGUGGGCGUUGGAAAGUUGCGGCGGUUGGGGAUGGACUCGCGGCUUAUCAGCUUGUUGGUGGGGUAGUGGCUUACCAAGGCUUUGACGGGUAGCCCGCCUGAGAGGGUGACCGGCCACAUUGGGACUGAGAUACGGCGCAGACUCCUACGGGAGGCAACAGGGGGGAGUAUUGCACAAUGGGCGGAAGCCUGAUGCAGCAACGCCGCGUGCGGGAUGACGGCCUUCGGGUUGUGAACCGCUGUCGCCUGUGACGAAGCGUGAGUGACGGUAAUGGGUAAAGAAGCACCGGCUAACUACGUG
rnacentral:rRNA from 1 species